rnacentral:rRNA from 1 species
GCAGUGGGGAAUAUUGCACAAUGGAGGAAACUCUGAUGCAGCAACGCCGCGUGGAGGACGAAGGUUUUCGGAUUGUAAACUCCUGUCUUUUGGGACGAUAAUGACGGUACCAAAAGAGGAAGCCACGGCUAACUACGUGCCAGCAGCCGCGGUAAUACGGAGGAUCCGAGCGUUAUCCGGAUUUAUUGGGUUUAAAGGGUGCGUAGGUGGUUUGAUAAGUCAGCGGUGAAAGUUUGAAGCUUAACUGAAAAAAUGCCGUUGAAACUGUCGGACUUGAGUGAAAAUGAGGUAGGCGGAAUGCGUGGUGUAGCGGGGAAAUGCAAAGAUAUCACGAAGAACGCCGAUUGCGAAGGCAGCUUACUAAGCUACAACUGACACUGAAGCAAGAAAGCGUGGGGAUCAAA